ensembl:lncRNA
ACCCCCCUCCCAGAACUGCUGAGGGCCUUCAAGGUAUGCAUUACUGCAGGAAAUGGAUCAUGGUCUGGACACCACAGAAAGAACCAUCACCUUUCUAUUGAGCUGUAUUGAUGGCAGUAAUGCAGACAGCAGCCUUAGACUUUGCUUUAGAGCAGUAUCAUUUCAGAACAUAGGUUUGUUUUUUUUUUUUAAGAUAUCAGAGCAUAGCUGUGUUCUGUUCCCAGCUUACAGAUAGCCUAGGUCAUCUAGUUUUAUGACAGAAACAAAGGAGGAAAUAGACAAAUAAUUCUUAAGCAGAACUAGGACUAAAAAUGAUAACCAGCUUACCAGAAGUAAUCUGGGGGAAGUUAACGUCCUGCUUUACGCCUAGACAGCUUACAUCCUUGUAGCUACUGGACAUAUCAAUACAGUAGGAAAAACAUCACAACAAAGGCAUGAUGAUGGAAAAACUAACACAAUAGAAAGAAGCUAUAAAAAAAGGAAGAAGAUUGCUCACCUGUAACAGAAGAUUCUAUGAUUGCAAGGGAAAGCUCCCCAAAGGAGAUCUCCAAAGAGAGAUCUUUCCUCACCAGCAGUCAGCCCUUAAAUGAGGUCUAAGAGAGGUGCAGCCAGGCUCCACCCCUUUUGAUCACACACCUGAAUUGCCUUCAUCUGUGCUCCCAGGGCUGACUGGGUCCUUUCCCCAGGUGCUCAAUCAGUGGUUCAUGCCAUUACUCAGCAGUUCCCAUACAACAAUCAAGGCCAUCAGGAGUUAAAGUUGAUACAACUAAAUACAUGCCAUGCUUUUUGCUUAAAUGUUUCUUGAAUAAAUAAUAUACCCAGUGAAAACUUCUAGAGAAGCAUUAGAAAGAGCUGUUCUAUACCAGGGACUGUACUUUAUCCUUAUGGGUCCCUUCCGACUCAGAAAGUUCUACACUUCUGAUUUAUUUAUUUGUUUAUUUUGUACAGAAGGAAAAGCCUACUUGUCUGUUUUUCUGUGAUUGUGUUGUUGGCUUCUGUUUUAUUUUUUUCUUGCUAUAUUUCUCAACUCCGCCCUUCCCCGCCCCUCCCCUGCAACAUGUGCAUUUCAGUGAGUCUGAAAUCUCGAAGGAAUCAGAUAACCCUUCUGUUACUCCAGCUGUUGAUGGGAAUUCAUGGUCUGCAUGUCUGAGUUACGCAGCCACCUCCACCGAGGACAGUUCCAUCUUCUCUCAGGGCUAUGACGUGACACCAUUUCCAAGUGUUUCUUGUAACUUGAAACCUGAUAAUGGGUAGGAAAAUGGAAAAGAGUCAUCUCCGCUUUUGGCACUCGAGGUUUCUGUUUUGCCAGUCACCUUCCUUGUUUUUCUUCUUUGCCUCUCAUUCUGUGUUUUCAGUUAAAAAACAGUGAAGUAAAAUCUUUGGGAGAGAUCUUUCAGUAUCUCGUAUUCGAUCUUUUCCACUGAGAAAGAAAUCUACCUGGUUGUGAUCACUGGAUGAUUUCUGGGUUUUUGUUUUGUUUUGUUUUGUUUUUUGCUUUUUUGUUUUGUUUUGUUUUUUAAUACAUGUACACAAUAGGAAGAUGGUAAAAAUCCUCAGGAUGUAGAAGAAGAGCAGAGCAUCUUUUGGAGAGCACUGGUAGAUGAACUGCUCCAGUUGUCUCUGUAAGGACGAUAUUGUACUGCUCUCCUCAGGGCAAAGUUCUGCCUGAAAAGAUUUCUUGAACACUAAAAUAUGUUGUUCAGGAAUUGCUGUUAAUUUUACUUGCUGGCAAUCCUUUCUAUAGCAAUUACUAUGGCCAUAGCAGUCCUCUGUACAUCACCUUUAUAUCUGUUCUUGAUGCUGAAGCUUUGAUUGUGAGUGCCAAUAACAUACACACAAAGUCUGUUAUGAGCUUCCUUCCUCUCAGAACUCCCUUGUAUUCACAAAUACAAAUUAAGGGAGAGCCAUGUUGCUCCUAUCCAAACUGCCUAUCCCUGACACACCCAGCUGAAGCUGUCUCGAGCUCAGUGUUUCAGGAAGGAAUUUCAAUUUUUCAUAAAAUUUCUUUACUAUUUUUAGCAUUAAUCGCGUGGACAUCAGCAACACUUCUGUGAACCUGUCCUCCUUUUUGACUCAGACCUGCCUCAGAAGCUUAGAGUUUUCCAAACUAUUACUAAGUGUUGCAGGCACUUUCCAAGUAAUACAUAAGAUCAGUGUGAUGUUUAUUCAUGUUUCCCCCGUGUUCCAGAAAGACCUCUGUAGUGAUCUUUAAAGCAAAACCUGUUGUAGUACGUCCAAUUCUACCUCUAGUUCCCUAUUUCUGUUGUCAAACCAGGUUGUUAAACUAUGAGUGAGGGUGAGUUUCUCCUAAUUUGCUCCACGCUCCCUGCAUGUUGACUUUAUUGGGACUUUUGCUUAUGGAGGUCUUUCAUUGCUGGGAGUUCCCUGGCAUAGCAUUUGCACGGUCAUCAAGGCAAGGUGUAUACUGACGCUAAGGACACUGGGCUGGCGGCAGAGCACAGGCCAUUUCUCAUACUAUUUGGACUAUUUGGACUAUUAUAGGGUGUAACUUUUGGACUAUUCUCUGGCAGAUGUAAUGAAGAGAAUUAUGUUUCAAGUUGCACGUUGUUCACCAUCAGGAUUUCAAUGUGAAUAAUAAUAGGCACUUGUAGUUCACAUGUAGCUUCAUUUCUAAAAUAGGAAAUAGUAUUUUCCUUAGAGAAAAUCACCAGAAUGGUGAAGGUAAGUUCCGAUUAAAUAGGUUAAUUAGGUUAAUAGGUUAGACAGAGCAAAGAUCAACAAAACUCAAUUAUUGAAGUUUCAAGACCAACAGAAAGAAGUAUUGGCAGAGAUUUUAAAGUACUAGUGUCUAGUCUCUGCGUGGUUUGGAACAGGUUCAGCUUCAGAAGAUAAUCUGAGAAAUGAGUAGAUGCAAAGGGCAGUCCUUAAUGUUGUAAUGCAGCAAUUCAGGUUCUUCUGAGGAACCUUUCACUUCUCAGGAACGGGAAUGGUGCUCACUUCUGAACUCAACUUUCUCAUUCAGAGUCUUUUCCCUACCUUUGGAGGGGUAUUCAGAGGGUUUUCCUAAAUGACACUAAUACAUCCAAAGGGCUGAAAAUGAGCAAGCGUAAUUGUCCUUUUAUCUUUCAUGUGCUGUCAUCCUAACACAAAUCCACUGGAAUUUUGGCAGCUUUUUGUUGUUGUUGUUGUUGAGAUGACACCACCAGUCUUCUGGAGAAUUUCAAAGCAUUUAAACUGAUAUAUUUCACAAGUAAUCACAGCUGCCUUGCCCUUCCUAAAACUUACAUAAAGAUUUUAAAAGAGUAUACGUAGCUCUGCAUGUUUUUGAAACAAAAUAAAGUUUAUUAUAGUUAAAGUGGAGACGUAGCGUGGGCUUUAGCUCCAAUUGCAUCAUUAGUCCUGCCUACAUUAUUCAAUAUACUUCAGUUGUCAUACGUAUGUUGCAAAACCUGAAGUGUGCAGGGAACAAAUCUGGCCAUUAAAUUUACAUAACGCAUAGUGACAUUUCUCUGGACUGCGGGCAAACACAGGAAAAACAAAACUUACACUUCAGAAAGCCAUCUACAAAUGCAAGGAAAAAAUAGAUUAAGCACAAGGACUGUACUGUAAGAACUAGUGAGGAAAAUCUUUUACUCCAUUUUUAGGCAAGGUUUAUUGCAGGUAACUGGACAGUAGAGUGUAAAAAGCUGAAAUACCAGCUUGGAGUUUUAUAAUGUUUGUGGUAGGAAAAAGAUAAAAAGCUUUAAGACAUUAUUUGAGGUUGAUUAAACAUGUCAACAGUGUGGAGGAAAAGAGCGCAAAGCCCUUAUAAGUGCAAACAUAAAAUAUUACAAGUGUUAUGGUAUUAGAUAAAAUAAAACAUAAAAAUAAUUUCAGGUCUGCAUCCUGGCUACUAAAACUGCACUUAUUUUCCAUUUGCAAUACUAUCAUUUAAGGAUAUAAAGACUUAUAUUUUAAGGGAGAUUAAGCAGGAUACAACAGGAAGUCAAGCACUAAACAGUUGUGAUACCGUAUUGUUGUUUAAAAGAGGGAUUAAGUAGCAUAGAGGAAAGGCUAAGUCAGGGCUUAAACCAGUGAUUGAGCACCUGGUGGGAAGGCAGGGCCAACCCAGGGGAGCUCAGGUGCAUGUAAUGUAGCUAAAUGACUGGGAGUGGUGGACCCGGGAUAUACCCCUUCCCAGCCCUCAUUUAAGGGUUGGCAGUGGAAGGAUGGGUAUCUCUUGUUGGAGGUCCCUGUGAAUCUAUAGUCUUCUGAAGAAGCACCUGAGGAUGCUGUCUGCCUCUUUCUAAUGCUUUUAAUGAGGUUAGAAGAGAUUGAAGUUAUCCGAGAAUCUUCUGACAAAUGAUCUCUGUAUGUGGAAAGGGCUUCUUGUGCUGUGAAUGUACGAGGCUGCCAAGCAGAGAGCACAUGAAAAAGUAAUUGUUUGUUUGAAUGGUGUGGCACGAUACCGCAGUUCUUCAAAGCAUUAUGUGCACAGUACAGAUACAGAUGUCCUGAGUGCUUCACCUCAUUCACCCAACUGCACUUGCAGAUGUCCUUGGAAUGAGGAACACUUCAAAGAUUCAAGUCCAAGUUUCAAGUUCAAUGUGGUUGUUGAAGAGCACCAGUGUUUAAGCACUUUACUUCAGGCCUCUCUUCGGUUCUGAAAACAUCAGAUAACAGCUGCAAGCUUUAAAAAGCAGCUGGAUAUAAGUGAUGUACCCUAUAAUCUGUUCAAAGCCUUUUGUACUGUAACACUUUGUCUUUGAAACCAAUAAUCUCUUUUUUUUUUUGUUUCAAACUUUUUGAUGGAUUAUGUUUCUUGGAAUUGCCCAGACUCUCCAAACUGAGGUUUGUUUUGAGGAACUGUAGGGGCUGGGUUUUAAUUUGUCCCAGUUUUCUCCUCUUGCUGUAUUAUGCAAGCUUCUCAUUUUGUGUUUAUACCAUUAAGAUAUUGCUUAGGAAUACUAUUACUUGAAUAGUUCUGGAGAUCAAAUUGCCCAUGGAAAUACCACAUGUGAUAAUGCUGUUAUACUCUGAUUAUAUUAUAUGCUAUUGUGUAUUGUAAUUAGACAUAUUUUAAAAUAGUAUCCCCGAAGGCCAAUGAAAUCAUGUAAUUCAGAACUACUAGGUUAUCCUAAGCAGUCUGAAGGUUCUGGAUGAGUAGACGAGCUCCUGGAAGUCAGUUUUGUGGGAGACCUAUUGGACAACCCUGUGGAGAAAGCUGCUGGCAGCUACUACUGUCUGGGAAAUUGGUUAUAUAAUGUGUGAUGGAGUUUAAAGGGCCCAAGGGGAGCAUUUUGUUAAUGAUAGGGAAUAAAACUGCCCAUAGGAAUACUGAGGAGCUGGAGGUAGGAAGCGGUUCCAGUGUUGAGAAUGUUUUGUCGUAGUUCUGACUGUAAGUCUUCUCUCAGGAAGAGAGGUGGAGUGGUUGGAUAUGUUUGUAGCUGCAUGCUGUUAUCUAAAACUACUUGUAUUAUGUAGAAAAUACUUUGAAGCAAUUUCUAUGAAGUUAUGUGUUAAGCAUUGUUAUUAAUUGUAAGCAGUUGUUUGUAAUGCUUUGAACUAAGUAAAAUCACCUUCAGGUGAUUUUUCUUUUUUUUCCCCUCUAGUAUUAUCCUCACUAGUAUUGCUUCUGCACAUCCUUAAUGGUACUAUGCUGAUACAACCUAUCUGAAUAAAGUGAAAUAAUGCUUCCUUUGCAGUGUUCAGAGUGCAGGCCUUAAUCAUCCUUAAUUUUUAAGUCUAAUCCUCAAGUUAGAACAAGUGUUUUUUUAUCUUCUUGAGCAACAGAUAAGCUUCUUGUAGAACCACUAUUGCUGAAUGAGAAAUACCACCCUGGAUGUUUUGCAGCCCUCUCAGGGUGACUGAGGAAACUGUUAAAGACAUGGAAGUGGAUUGCUACUUGUGGCAUACUAGCAUGUAACAUCGAUCUGUAACAGUAACUCCAUCACUAAAAAUCUUGGCAGGAAUGGUUGUGGUAACUGAAGCGUAAUGUAAAUGUAUCAAAAUGAUAGGAAUUAAUUUUGAAUUACACUUUCAUUUAGUUUUGUUCUAAUAACUUAAUUUUACUAGUAAAGAGUUUAAAACUAAGAACUUCAAGGCACGUCUUCACAAGUUUGUUCUUGAAACUUGGGGAAAUAAUCUCCGUGCUCCUGAUCUGUGUAGGAGUUCUUGCAUGAGGAGUAGUGGAUUGAGUUCCCCCAGGUUUAAUGCCAGAGUUAACUGAAAGCCCAGAGACAAAAGCUUUGUCGUUGUUUCUGAAGCUGCACUUCUGAUUCAUUCUGUUCUCUAAUUCCCUGUGUCUUGAGAAUGCUGAUCCCAGAUCAGAAUAUGAGCUUGAAAAUGCUGUAAUAUUAAAAUUACAGUUGAGAUAGUGGAUAUAUUUCUGCUCCAUCUAUAGUGUCCAAGACUACGAGGCUGUUUUUUUUUCCAACCCACUAUAGUAAGAUAAUUCAGCAGAAACUUCUAAUUA